GAAACGGCCAUUAAUUUCUAAUGAGUAAAGACCUUAUGUACCAAUAUUCGUUUUUAAGGAAUAAAAUUGGAUAUGUCUUAAAGCCCUUAAAGUUUUAUUCGAGCUUAUCCUCAUAAAGUCGGCUUUCCGCAUAAUGCACGAUGUGCCUUUAAGUACAAUUUUGUGGGGUGUCGUGUUAUGCGAAAAGCUCAAGAUCUUGGCCAUAGAGGCUUGGUUAAAGACACGCCAAGCUUUAAAUGGUUGAUGUGAGACCUU
rnacentral:lncRNA from 1 species